rnacentral:tRNA from 1 species
GGGAGAUUAGCUCAGUUGGGAGAGCACCUGCCUUACAAGCAGGGGGUCAGCGGUUCGAGCCCGUUAUCUCCCACCA